CUUUUAGAAGACAUCUGAAGGCAGCCCUGUACAGAGGAGAAGUUGUUGUUGUUGUUUGUUGUUGUUGUUGAUAUUUUGCUGGAAGCCACCCAGAGUGGCUGGGGCAACCCAAUCCAAUGGGUGGCAUAUAAAUAAUAAAAUGAUGAUGUGCUUUGUCGGACAUAACCUCCACAAUCAGGGCUGGCCCAACACACUUUGCUGCCUGAGGCAAAGAACAAGAAUCAUAGAAUCAUAGAGUUGGAAGAGACCACAAGGGCCAUUGAGUCCAACCCCCUGCCAAGCAGGAAACACCAUCAGAGCACUCCUGACAUAUGGU